rnacentral:misc_RNA from 1 species
AGGUACAAGCUGAUGUCCCCGGCGAAGCUCCCGAUCUCGAGGUCACCCUGCAUCACGAUCCCUCCGGGUCUCAGUCCGACGUCGUUUCUUGAGUCUCCUGUUCUGCUUUCAAAUGUUAAGGCAGAGCCUUCUCCAACUACUGGUUCCUUGACUAAACCUCAAACGGGACAUGGCUUUCUUGGCUCCAAUUCAUAUUCAAUCACAGUUCCCUCAAAUGCCUUUGGAGAAAGAAAAUACAGCUCCUUUGAGUUUAGACCCCAUGCUAGAUCAAACUUGGUUCCUGCAGAUAUGAACCACCAAAGAAGUGAAUCUGUUCAAGUUCAAGGCCAGUACCAGUCUCAGUCACAUGCAUCAUCACCUAC